rnacentral:sRNA from 1 species
CGAAAAACCAGCGUCGAAGUGCGCUGGUGGAGACUACUUAUGACCGUCAAUACCGUGCAGGGGUCGGUAAGGGUGACGCGUUGCGUCUGAGGACCGGGGGACGGUGGUAAAAACUAUCAAUUCCCUGCAACCAAUGUGACCGGAUUCUAACAGGGUUUUAUAGAUCGUCAACACUAUAAAAGGCCAAAUUUAUAACUAAUUGUAA